rnacentral:rRNA from 1 species
ACUUAAUCUUAAACGGCCGCGGUAUCCUGACCGUGCAAAGGUAGCAUAAUCACUUGUCUCCUAAAUAGAGACUUGUAUGAAUGGCAAGACGAGGGUUUAACUGUCUCUUUUUCUUAAUCAAUGAAAUUGACCUACCCGUGCAGAGGCGGGUAUAAUAGUAUAAGACGAGAAGACCCUGUGGAGCUUGAAAUUACAGCUUAAAUUAUUUCACUUUAUAAUCCUAAUGGACCUAAAUUCUUUAAUAAUUAAGUUGAAUUUUUGGUUGGGGUGACCUCGGAGCACAAAAAAACCUCCGAAUGAUAUAACCAAGAUUUACCAAUCCAAGUACUACUAGUCAGUAAUUGACCCAUAUAUUGAUCAACGGAACAAGUUACCCCAGGGAUAACAGCGCAAUCCUAUUC